rnacentral:tRNA from 1 species
GCCCCUGUAGCUCAGUUGGCCAGAGCGCUCGCCUUGUAAGCGAGGGGUCGCCGGUUCGAGCCCGGCCGGGGGCU